GAUGAAGAACGCAGCGAAAUGCGAUAAGUAAUGUGAAUUGCAGAAUUCAGUGAAUCAUCGAAUCUUUGAACGCACAUUGCGCCCGCUAGUAUUCUGGCGGGCAUGCCUGUUCGAGCGUCAUUUCAACCAUCAAGCCCUAGGCUUGCGUUGGAGCCCUGCGGCUGCCGCAGGCUCCCAAAUCCAGUGGCGGGCUCGUCGUCGUACCGAGUGCAGUAAACAUCCUCGCUCAGGGAACGUGACGGGUUCUUGCCGUGAAACCCCCCACAUAUCAAGGUUGACCUCGGAUCAGGUAGGAAUACCCGCUGAACUUAAGCAUAUCAAUAAGCGGAGGA
rnacentral:misc_RNA from 1 species